UACGGAGGGUGCAAGCAUUAAUCGGAUUUAUUGGGCGUAAAGGGCGCGUAGGCGGGCCUGUAAGUCAGAUGUGAAAGCCCGGAGCUCAACUCCGGAACAGCAUUUGAAACUGUGGGUCUAGAGGGUAGGCGGGGAAAAUGGAAUUCCACAAGUAGCGGUGAAAUGCGUAGAUAUGUGGAAGAACACCGGUGGCGAAGGCGAUUUUCUAGCUUAUACCUGACGCUGAGGCGCGAAAGUAAGGGGAUCAAACAGG
rnacentral:rRNA from 1 species